GACGAACCGUCCUAACGUUGUUCGGAAUCACUGGGCUUAAAGGGCGCGUAGGCGGGUCAGCAAGCCCGGGGUGAAAUCUUUCGGCUUAACCGGAAAAGUGCCUCGGGGACUGCUGGUCUUGAGGGAGGUAGGGCACGCGGAAGCUUCUGGUGGAGCGGUGAAAUGCGUUGAUAUCAGAAGGAACGCCGGUGGCGAAAGCGG
rnacentral:rRNA from 1 species